GCUGAUCUAAUUUCCAUCUCUACCGGUUGGUAAUCUCUAGAAUCGAUUCGUUCGGACAAUAUAGUCCUCUGUUUCUUUACCUAGGGACGAAAUUGCCCCCGAGGAGUCAAAAGAACUGUAGCUCUUCUAGCAGCGUCAUCCUCCUACAGUCCUACUGCCAACCCCGAAACCCUACCCACGGUUCGCCGCUGGAGCUUUGACGAUGCUUCUGUGACGAUCUCUGACAAUUUUCGGUUCAAAUUCUCAGGGGACUUGCAUUAAUGGGUGGGUUGCCUAUACAAAAGCCUUCCUCUGCCUUGGCGUUGCCAGGGUCUCAGGCUCAGGAAGACCAAGGAUCAACUUUUAAAGCUUCUGGAGAUUCAAAGCCAAAGAAAAAGAUUUGCUGUGCUUGUCCUGAUACUAAGAAGCUGAGAGAUGAAUGCAUUGUAGAGUAUGGUGAAGCUGCUUGUACAAAAUGGAUUGACGCUCAUCUUAAGUGUCUUCGUGCUGAGGGCUUCAACAUUUGAAAUUUUCGUAGAAAAUUGUUUAGAUGAAGUAGGAGAUGGAACGAGUUUUGGGAACUAAUUCUUCACUUAGGUAUUAUAAUUAUACCUGAUGAUAUAAGUUUUACUGCAAAAUCAGGAAUAAAGCAACGGAGAUUGGCUUGUUGAACUGAUUGAAGAUAGCCAUUUUUUUUUUGGUAUACUUUCAUAUUCUUGAAUUAUGAGGUUGUUACCUCUACUUAUAAAAAAAGGAAAGUGGAGAAAAAGCAGUAAUUAGCACGUA